UACAGAGGUCCCAAGCGUUGUCCGGAGUUACUGGGCGUAAAGGGCAUGCAGGCGGUCGGACGCGUUUUGUGUGACAGCGGAUGGCUUACCUAUCCGAGCAUACGAAAGACGGUUGGACUUGAGGACUCGAGAGGGACACGGAAUUCCGGGUGGAGUGGUGAAAUGCGUAGAGAUCCGGAGGAACACCGAAGGCGAAGGCAGUGUCCUGGCGAGUGACUGACGCUGAGGUGCGAAAGCCAGGGGAGCGAACGGG
rnacentral:rRNA from 1 species